GAUGAACGCUGACAGAAUGCUUAACACAUGCAAGUCUUUGGCGAAGCUGUGCUUGCACCGCCUAGCCAAGGCGGACGGGUGAGUAACGCGUAAGGAACUUGCCCUGCAGUCAGGGAUAACAGACGGAAACGACUGAUAAGACCUGGUAAAGUCAGGCGGACUCACGUCCAGCCUGAUGAAAAGAGAUGCUGCAGGAGAGCCUUGCGUCCUAUUAGCUUGUUGGUGGGGUAACGGCCCACCAAGGCGAUGAUAGGUAGCCGGCCUGAGAGGGUGGACGGCCACAAGGGGACUGAGAUACGGCCCUUACUCCUACGGGAGGCAGCAGUGGGGAAUAUUGGACAAUGGGGGCAACCCUGAUCCAGCAAUUCUGUGUGCACGAUGAAGGUUUUCGGAUUGUAAAGUGCUUUCAGCAGGGAAGAAAAAAAUGACGGUACCUGCAGAAGAAGCGACGGCUAAAUACGUG
rnacentral:rRNA from 1 species